AACAGACACAGUGACCUCAGUGAGGGAGCACUCUUUGCCAGAAGGCUUUCCACCUAUUUCUGGGCAAAUCCCUCCUCUGUGGGGUGGGUUUUCCCUGCAUCUCUCUUGUUUUCUUGGUGGUGGUACAAAAGGCUGCAACAGCUGGAAAAAAUGCUUUGCUACAACUUUGUUUCCUUUUAGUGGCACUGGUGUCAUUAAUGGUGUCCUAGCAGACAGACAGACAGAUGGUCUCUUCCUUUGUCAAUACUGAAGUUUUUCACUUGAGCUCACAGGAUUGAAGGGACAGCACUAUGAAGAGCCCUGUACAACCAUAACUACAGAGAGAAUGAAGGAGUCACAUGGCUGUACAAGCUUGAUCUACAAUACCUUACUAAUUACAGAGAUUACCAUAGACAGGAUUCUUUGUAAAACUAAAAAUAUUUCACUCCCUAAAACUUUCAGAUGUUCAUGAUUUUACCAGUUUGUAUAAGACAAUAUUGGAGAUUGAAAAGGCAGCAUAAGAUUAUAAGAGAGUUAGUUCUACAAGGUAUGUGCACUGAUUGUUGAACACAACUUAUGAACUUGAAAGUUUUGAAAAAACUAUGAAGAGUUUGGUUUUAAUAUAGUUCUCUACAAAAAAAAACCCCAGAAACCUGCAUGCUUGCAGAUAACCAGCAGAGGGCUGAAUCAUCACACCAUAGACAGAAUCCAGCAAUAACCACUUAUGGGACCAACUACAUCUACUUACCAGAGCCUUACAGAAAUGAUGUGGCAGAUACACAACAACUGACACAGCCCAUGACCUAAAGAUCUUGUGAUACAAGAAAACAAGGAACAAAUUAAAGACAGAAGAAUGAUGCAUUAAGAUAUCCAAGAAUCAGGAAGAAUGUGGUAGGUUGGAAUGAAGGAAGGAAUAUGCCGUGACCUUACAAAUCGACGUGAGAACAUUGUUUUAAACUGAAAGAGUGUGGACUGAGACUGGAUACAAGGAAAAAGUUCAAGCGUGGGAGGAUCCCAUCCAUCCUGUUUUCCCAGGAAAUGUGUUCUCCUGCAGUACCCCUGGCUGGUCAUCUGUGCUGUCUGGUGCA